GGAUAGUAUAACAACGAUAUACUUAGUGUAAUUCCACAAGUGAAUCUAGGAAAGCUCGGACAGUAGUUGAUACAAAAUAACUGGUCUUUGGUCAAGCAUUUGUGUCUUUGGUGCUUAGCAUCUGCUUACAACUAUCCAUCCUCGGCCUUGGCCUCGGCCCAAUCAGCUGCAAUCUUCACAAAACUCCUCUUUGUUCCUGCUGAUACUCUGUUGCAGAUAUUUCUAAUCUUUGAUCAUCAAUUCCUGAUUCUGCUCUCUUCGUUUCCCCAUACAUUGGCCAAACUGCCAUCAUCUUUCCAAGACUCGGACAGAACAGGCACACUGAAGUAUAGCUAUCUUCAGCAAUUCGCAGAGCCGCAG
rnacentral:misc_RNA from 1 species